rnacentral:rRNA from 1 species
GUCUUCAUAAGUUUGACGAUAUGAAGGACCUUUACUUUUCAGAUACCUUUAUAUAUUUAUAUAUAAAAAAAUAAGAUUAAUAUACCCUCUUUAGAGGAUAGAAAAGUAAAAAGUUUUAUCUUAUUAAUUUUAGUUUGCUGAAAUUUGGAGGUGGCACAGAAUCGGAGGCCCCGACUGUUUACUUAAAACACAGAUAUCUGCAACGAUUAAUUUCUUUGUAUAGGUGUUGAAUUUUGCCCGAUGCCAUUAACAUAAAAUUGAUAAGCGCUGAGCGUGAUAAUUGAUUGAAAGUCUGGUCAAUGGCGGUCUUAUCCUGAGGAUCCUAAGGUAGCAAAAUUAAUUGUCCAUUAAAUGUGGUCCCGACUGAAUAAAGUAACGAUGGUCUCACUGUCUCUACAAGUAUCUCAGUGAAAUUGAAUUAGCCGUGCAGAUGCGGUUUGCCUCCAGGUAGACGGGAAGACCCUAUGCA